rnacentral:hammerhead_ribozyme from 1 species
GCACUGCUGACGAGUCCCAAACAGGAGAAAACAACGGUCCAGUGC